AACGAACGCUGGCGGCAUGCCUAACACAUGCAAGUCGAACGAGACCUUCGGGUCUAGUGGCGCACGGGUGCGUAACGCGUGGGAACCUGCCCUUAGGUUCGGAAUAACUCCCCGAAAGGGGUGCUAAUACCGGAUAAUGUCUUCGGACCAAAGAUUUAUCGCCCUUGGAUGGGCCCGCGUUGGAUUAGCUAGUUGGUAGGGUAAAAGCCUACCAAGGCGACGAUCCAUAGCUGGUCUGAGAGGAUGAUCAGCCACACUGGGACUGGGACACGGCCCAGACUCCUACGGGAGGCAGCAGUGGGGAAUAUUGGACAAUGGGCGAAAGCCUGAUCCAGCAAUGCCGCGUGAGUGAUGAAGGCCUUAGGGUUGUAAAGCUCUUUUACCCGGGAUGAUAAUGACAGUACCGGGAGAAUAAGCACCGGCUAACUCCGUG
rnacentral:rRNA from 1 species